rnacentral:rRNA from 1 species
CAUGCGGCGACGCAGAGCGGAACCCGAAAACCUGUCUCAGUUCGGAUUGGAGUCUGCAACCCGACUCCAUGAAGCUGGAUUCGCUAGUAAUCGCGCAUCAGCCACGGCGCGGUGAAUACGUUCCCGGGCCUUGUACACACCGCCCGUCAAGCCAUGGAAGCCGGGAGUGCCUGAAGUGCGUGAGCGCAAGCAGCGCCCUAAGGUAAAACCGGUGACUGGGGCUAAGUCGUAACAAGGUAGC